GACGAACGCUGGCGGCGUGCUUAACACAUGCAAGUCGAGCGGAAAGGCCCUUCGGGGUACUCGAGCGGCGAACGGGUGAGUAACACGUGAGUAAUCUGCCCUUGGCUUUGGGAUAACUACCGGAAACGGUGGCUAAUACCGGAUACGACAACCGUCUGCAUGGGCUGGUUGUGGAAAGUUUUUUCGGCCAGGGAUGUGCUCGCGGCCUAUCAGCUUGUUGGUGGGGUAAUGGCCUACCAAGGCUUCGACGGGUAGCCGGCCUGAGAGGGUGACCGGCCACACUGGGACUGAGACACGGCCCAGACUCCUACGGGAGGCAGCAGUGGGGAAUAUUGGACAAUGGGUGGAAGCCUGAUCCAGCAACGCCGCGUGAGGGAUGACGGCCUUCGGGUUGUAAACCUCUUUCAGUACCGACGAAGCGCCGAUGAUGGUGGUGACGGUAGGUACAGAAGAAGCACCGGCCAACUACGUG
rnacentral:rRNA from 1 species